rnacentral:rRNA from 1 species
GACGAACCGUGCGAACGUUGUUCGGAAUCACUGGGCUUAAAGGGCGCGUAGGCGGCUUGUCAAGUCAGGGGUGAAAUCUUUCGGCUUAACCGGAAAAGUGCCUUUGAUACUGGCAAGCUCGAGGGAGGUAGGGGCAUGCGGAACUUCCGGUGGAGCGGUGAAAUGCGUUGAUAUCGGAAGGAACGCCGGUGGCGAAAGCGGCGUGCUGGAUCUCUUCUGACGCUGAGGCGCGAAAGCUAGGGGAGCGAACGGG